CCUACGGGAGGCAGCAGUGAGGAAUAUUGGUCAAUGGGCGGAAGCCUGAACCAGCAAAGUCGCGUGAAGGAUGAAGGCCCUACGGUUUGUAAACUGCUUUUAUACGGGCAUAACGCGCCUUACGUGUAGGGCUUUGCAUUUACCCUAUGAAUAAGGACCGGCUAAUUCCGUGCCAGCAGCGGCGGUAAUACGGAGGGUCCGCGCGUUAUACGGAUUUAAUGGGUUGAAAGGGAGCGUAGGCGGCAUGUCAAGCGUGCUGUGAAAUGUCCGGGCGCAACCCGGGGCGUGCAGUGGAAACUGGAGUGCUUGAGUGCGCGGAAGGCAGGCGGAAU
rnacentral:rRNA from 1 species